rfam:Danio rerio chromosome 20, GRCz11 reference primary assembly.
GUCAGAAUGGCCGAGUGGUCUAAGGCGCCAGACUCAAGGUAAAUCAACUUUCUCAGUAUAUGAGGAGUCUGGUCUCCCGAUGGAGGCGUGGGUUCAAAUCCCACUUCUGACA